AGACUUUUUAUUUAAAAGCAUUUUCCUUGUAAAUGUCAUAAAUAUAAACGAGCUAUUUCCUUAAAUAGACGCAAAAUAUAAAAUUUCAACAACAUUCUAUACAAGGAAGUUGGCGAUGUCAAAGACAGCUAAAAGCAUCUUCAAGUUUCCUCGUUUAAAGAUAAAGUGUGUGUGUGGUUGUUGAAUAAAUAUAACGCAUACGCCAUGUGUGCCAGAAGCAGCGAAAAAUAAGAUGAUGGCGAAAGCGUGGCUGCCGAUAAUUCAGCGAGCGAUACAAUGGCGAUGAAAAUCGGAAGAUAUGGCAUCAUAUAAAACCUUAAAAAGUGUAUGUCCCCUUAUUUGGAAUUGAGGAGGGUGAAUAAUUUCAAGCUUUAAUGGGAAUAAAGAGGGUGGAAGGCUGAAAAUGA